AUGCAGUUCUACUCCACAGCUCACUUCUACCCAGAUGGAAGGAUUGUCUGGAUGUCUGAAGGUACUAGGUACCAAUCAUCAGUUGAAGAAUGGGAAAAAUUGAUCAAUGCACCUAAGGAGAAUGAGGAUGACUUGGAUGUCUAUGCCAAGAAGAAGAAGGAUCACAACUCCAUGGCACAUAUGUACAGAGAGAUCCCAGAUGUUGCUGUAGAGACACACAAGUUUGGAUCAGUACAUUACCUUCUGUCAGGAUUGCCAACAAUCAACUGGAUCCUCAGGCACACUACUUUGCCUAAGUCAGGUGAUCACAAGAUGAUCAGAGGCCAUGCUAUCAACCUACUUCACAUAUUUGAUGGGCCAAAAGUUCAAGGUCAUGAGCCUCAUAGUGGAAACUAUCAAGAGAACAGCUGCUGA
rnacentral:rRNA from 1 species